AGUAGUCUGGCAAAGCGGUUAGUACGUUCCAGUAUUUUGGACGUUCUGUGCUCCGGCGGUCGUGGGUUCGAUCCCCCCUUUUGCUU